GUGAAAUGUACCAAAGGUUACCAUGGUGCAGCUGUAUUCUCUCGUGACAAAGUCUUCCAGGACAUCACUGAUCCGCUCUUUGGGGCUUAGGGAAGCUGUCUUCAAAGCAAGAAGUAGAAAUCUCCAGCAGGUUGAUUUUGAAGGUGAUUGUAAACAAGACAUCGACUCAAUCAAUUGUUUACUGGAUCCAGCUAGUGAGACCAUG
rnacentral:misc_RNA from 1 species